rnacentral:siRNA from 1 species
UGGAGUAGCUUGUUUACUACUUA